GAGGGCGGAUCGGGCCCGGUGGCCUGCGCGGUCUUCAAAACCGUUGGGCGGGGUGACGAGCCUCGCCGGUGGGUUCGACUCCCAUGCGCCCUCGCCA
rnacentral:tRNA from 2 species